AGAGUUGAUCCUGGCUCAGGAUGAACGUUGGCGGUGUGCCUAAUACAUGCAAGUCGAACGGUGAUCUAUGGGAGCUGCUUCCAUUUGAUUAUAGUGGCGAACGGGUGAGUAACGCGUUGGUGAUCUGCCUCGAAGUGUGGAAUAACGUUCCGAAAGGGACGCUAAUACCGCAUGUGCUCUAGAUUUUUAGAAAGUUUAGAGUAAAGGAUUUAUUCGCUUCGAGAGGAGCCUGCGUCCCAUCAGCUAGUUGGUAAGGUAACGGCUUACCAAGGCUAUGACGGGUAGGGGACCUGAGAGGGUGGCCCCCCACAAUGGAACUGAAACACGGUCCAUACACCUACGGGUGGCAGCAGUAGGGAAUAUUAGAAAUGGGCGAAAGCCCUGAUCUAGCGACACCGCGUGUGCGACGAAGGCCUUCGGGUUGUAAAGCACUUUUUGGAAGGAAUAGGAAGGAAGGUACUUCCAGAAUAAGUCUCGGCUAACUACGUGCCAGCCGCCGC
rnacentral:rRNA from 1 species